rnacentral:ncRNA from 1 species
AGCGUGAUAUGACAGUGCCAGAAUGCACGUUCAUCAGACACCACAAAAGGUGUUAGUUCAUCCAGACAGCCGGAUGGUGGCCAUGGAAGUCAGAACCCGCUAAGGAAUGUAUAACAACUCACCGGCUGAAUGAACUAGCCGUGAAAAUGGAUGGCACUCAAGCAUGCUACUCAUAACUUGUUACCAGGGUAAAAAUAAUGCCCGGGCA